AUUUGUUAUUUUGUGCGCCCUCAAUGCUACUAGCAACGCUCAAAAAUCACUGUACGACAAAUGACUAUAUUUUGUCACAGGAUUUUUGAGUGUUGCUAGUCGGAGAAGGGC
rnacentral:pre_miRNA from 18 species